rnacentral:rRNA from 1 species
UACGUAGGUGGCAAGCGUUGUCCGGAUUUACUGGGCGUAAAGAGCGCGCAGGCGGUCGGAUCAGUCGAAUGUGAAAGCCCCCGGCUCAACUGGGGAGGGUCAUUCGAUACUGUCCGACUCGAAGGCAGGAGAGGGAAGUGGAAUUCCCGGUGUAGUGGUGAAAUGCGUAGAUAUCGGGAGGAACACCAGUGGCGAAGGCGGCUUCCUGGACCGACACUGACGCUGAGGCGCGAAAGCUAGGGGAGCAAACGGG